CCCGCACAAGCGGAGGAACAUGUGGUUAAUUCGAUGAUACGCGAGGAACCUUACCUGGGCUUAAAUGUAGAGUGCAUUUUCUAGAGAUAGGAAUUCCCUUCGGGGCUUUCUACAAGGUGCUGCAUGGUUGUCGUCAGCUCGUGCCGUGAGGUGUCGGGUUAAGUCCCAUAACGAGCGCAACCCUUAUCGUUAGUUGCCAUCUGGUAAAGCAGGGGACUCUAGCGAAACUGCCACCGUAAGGUGAGAGGAAGGUGGGGAUGACGUCAAAUCAGCACGGCCCUUAUGUCCAGGGCUACACACGUGUUACAAUGGUCGGUACAGAGAGCAGCUACCUGGUGACAGGAUGCUAAUCUCGAAAACCGGCCUCAGUUCGGAUCGAAGUCUGCAACUCGACUUCGUGAAGCUGGAUUCGCUAGUAAUCGCGCAUCAGCCAUGGCGCGGUGAAUACGUUCCCGGGCCUU
rnacentral:rRNA from 1 species